rnacentral:rRNA from 1 species
GAUGAACGCUGGCGGCGUGCUUAACACAUGCAAGUCGAACGGGACUUGUUAAGUUGAAACUUCGGUCGAUUCUUUUCAAGUCUAGUGGCGGACGGGUGAGUAACGCGUGGGUAACCUGCCUCACACUGGGGGAUAACAGUCAGAAAUGACUGCUAAUACCGCAUAAGCGCACAGCAUCGCAUGAUGCAGUGUGAAAAACUCCGGUGGUGUGAGAUGGACCCGCGUUGGAUUAGCUAGUUGGCAGGGCAGCGGCCUACCAAGGCGACGAUCCAUAGCCGGUCUGAGAGGAUGAACGGCCACAUUGGGACUGAGAUACGGCCCAG